rnacentral:rRNA from 1 species
CGAAUGGGGAAACCCACUGUUCGUAAUGGAACAGGACUUAUGUCUGAAUACAUAGGGCAUAAGAGGCACACCCAGGGAACUGAAACAUCUCAGUACCUGGAGGAAGAGAAAGCAAAUGCGAUUUCCCAAGUAGCGGCGAGCGAAACGGAAACAGCCCAAACCAGAGAGCUUGCUCUCUGGGGUUGUAGGACACUCCACAAGGAGUUACAAAGAAAUUCUUUAGAUGAAUCAACCUGGAAAGGUUAGCCAAAGAGGGUAACAGCCCUGUAAUCGAAAAAGAAUUUCCUCCGGAGUGGAUCCUGAGUACGGCGGAACACGUGGAAUUCCGUCGGAAUCCGGGAGGACCAUCUCCCAAGGCUAAAUACUCUCUAGGGACCGAUAGUGAACCAGUACCGUGAGGGAAAGGUGAAAAGCACCCCGGGAGGGGAGUGAAAGAGUACCUGAAACCGUGUGCCUACAAGUAGUCGAAGCGCGUUCAUGCGUAACGGCGUACCUUUUGUAGAAUGGACCGGCGAGUUACGAUUGUAUGCAAGGUUAAGUGGAAGACACGGAGCCGUAGCGAAAGCGAGUCUGAAUAGGGCGAUUUAGUAUGCGGUCGUAGACCCGAAACCGUGUGAUCUACCCAUGUCCAGGGUGAAGGUCAGGUAACACUGACUGGAGGCCCGAACCCACGUAUGUUGAAAAAUGCGGGGAUGAGGUGUGGGUAGGGGUGAAAUGCCAAUCGAACACGGAGAUAGCUGGUUCUCUCCGAAAUAGCUUUAGGGCUAGCCUCAAGAUGAUGAGUACUGGAGGUAGAGCACUGAUUGGACUAGGGGCCCUCAUCGGGUUACCGAAUUCAGUCAAACUCCGAAUGCCAGAUACUUAAACUUGGGAGUCAGACUAUGGGUGAUAAGGUUCAUAGUCGAAAGGGAAACAGCCCAGACCACCAGCUAAGGUCCCAAAGUAUACGUUAAGUGGAAAAGGAUGUGGAGGUGCUUAGACAACCAGGAUGUUUGUUUAGAAGCAGCCACCGUUUAAAGAGUGCGUAAUAGCUCACUGGUCGAGUGACUCUGCGCCGAAAAUGUACCGGGGCUAAACGUAUCACCGAAGCUGUGGAUUGUUCUUACGAACAAUGGUAGGAGAGCGUUCUAAGUGCUGUGAAGU